AACACCUGAGAAACUAAUAUCAUUAUUGCAGCCUUAUCCAGUGAACUUUAAGCUGUGUGUGGCUUCUGCGUGCAAAGAUUCCGGCAUUAUUGCCUGGAAAGAAACAAUGACAUGAAGAUCAAUCCGAGAUCCUAAUUUAUCUUUGUUUCUCUUUGUAGAAUGAUCAAACUACAGAAAUCUUCCCUUCCUAGCACAUGAGAUUGUAUUUUACAAUUACCUAAUUGAGAAAGGAAAAAUACAUAUAUAUUUUUUUUAAAAAAAAAACAGCCCUGCAAUACUACACCCUUGUAAAGGGAAUAUCAAUCUCAACGAAGAAUUCAUCUCUUCGUUUUCCAUGUAGCACCAAAUGCUUAUGGAGUUAUGGGACAAAUUCAAAACAGGAAUGGCAGCUUUGGCAAAACCGGAAAUCAUCUGUGCCUUCUAUCUUCAGUCACUUAAAAGUAAUAAGGCAUGUAAGUGUUAAUUGCAUCGUUUUUCCCCUACCAAUGGUGAUCGUGGAAGAAUAAGAACAAAGGCAAUCAAGUUCUCAGAAAUGCUUGCAAAAUCACAAUGCAUUUUCCGUAAUUAGUGAAACAAUUAAUCUCCAAGCUAUGAAACGUUUCCAGCCAAUUCUCCUCGCCUGAUUCUGUCAAUGACAAGUAUGACUACAGGUUGCUAAUGCUUGUUUUUAUUACAUUCCCAUUUAUGGUACAGAUGUUGUAUAAAUGGAGUUAAGAAUCGCUUCUUAUUAAUUAUCUUGAAAUUCUAAAUAUCGAGAGAAACUUCAUUCAAAGGAUAAUGAAAUGAAUAUAUUCCAGAGUCAUGCAAAAAAUAAAAUAAAAUAAAAUAAAUAAAUAAAUAAAAGAAAAAAAAUCUGCUGGACAAGGCGAUCAUGUUCACAUCUGAAACCACUACCAGGAAUCUAAUGCCAGGUCACCAGAUUUAGAAGGUGGGUCCACUUGGAUUGAGAGAAUAGUUUAUCUUCAACAAAACAAAAGAAAAUGUACAAUAAGGGAGAAAAGGAGCUGGGGUCGGGUGGGGGGGUGGAGGUAUAGCUAACCACGUUUAUCUUGGCUUCUUGUUAAAUGUAGCUGUCAUGAACCUGGAUCUGAAUUCAAUCACUUGGUUAUUACUUAUUAUAACAAAACAGGGAAAGAAUAAUCCCAAAAAUAAUGAAGAUGAAAAAAGAGGGAGGAGAAAACGGAAGAGGCAGAGCCAGGGAAGAGGCAGUGCAUGGGCGGAUCGACAACAGAAACCUGUUGGUAGAUUCAUCCAUGCUCAGCCUGUUCCCUGUCUUUGUCUGUCUCUCACAUCUUUCUCGCUCUCUCCCUAUUGACUUUUACCUCACUUUCUUGCAAUCACCUUGUUUCAGUGUAUCUGUCAAAGCCCUAAAAAACCUGGCACUUGCACAAUGACCUCUGGGCUUAGGUCCCCAUCCUUCUUUUAUGACAAACUCAUCAAGUCAUAAUACACUUUUCAGCGACCAAGAAACUUGGUUCUGAGCCUACGCUGUCAUAUGAGCUAUUUAUGCUACAAACCCAAAAGGAUUACAGUACAAAAUGUACUAUAAAAUUCUCGUUGGACAAAUUGACUCUGUACUAGCAACUUUGAGUGCUAAUUGUAAAU
rnacentral:lncRNA from 1 species